rnacentral:rRNA from 1 species
GAUUAACGCUAGCGGCAGGCAUAAUACAUGCAAGUUGAACGGCAGCACAGGUAGCAAUACUGGGUGGCGAGUGGCGCACGGGUGCGUAACACGUAUGCAACCUACCCUAUACAGGCGAAUAACCUUUAGAAAUGAGGGCUAAUACGCCGUAGUAUUACAGAUGGGCAUCUAUUUGUAAUUAAAGAUUUAUCGGUAUAGGAUGGGCAUGCGUCCCAUUAGUUAGUUGGUAAGGUAACGGCUUACCAAGACGAUGAUGGGUAGGGGAUCUGAGAGGACUUACCCCCACACUGGUACUGAGACACGGACCAGACUCCUACGGGAGGCAGCAGUAAGGAAUAUUGGGCAAUGGCCGCGAGGCUGACCCAGCCAUGCCGCGUGCAGGAAGACGGCCUUAUGGGUUGUAAACUGCUUUUAUACGGGAAUAAUAGAGUGUACGCGUACAUUUAUGCAAGUAUCGUAUGAAUAAGCAGCGGCUAACUCCGUG